UAACUCGUUAAUGAGGAUCUACAAAAACCGCCUAGAGCUGCAUUAUUCGUAAGGGUGGGGACGGUGUGCUUUCCCCGUGCGAUCGGGAGCAACGUGAGGAUGUCUGCUCUCGUUGCCCUUGCUCGACGUCGCGCUGGAAGUUCCGGCUACUGCAGCGAGUCAGGAAAAGGAAAUAAGAGGCAUGGAGUUGGUGAGGAAGAGUUAGAACGGGAUUUACACAUGGCUUGAUCAUGUAAUUGUAAAACUCCAAGGGCUUCCCGGAAGACUCUGGAACUGAGAAGUGAGUUUAGCCAGGCUGCAGGAUACAAGACAAACAUUCAGAAGUCCAUACAUAUGUCCAUAUGUAGCAGUGAACACGUGACACCAAAAUUAAAAAUACCAUACCAUUUAUAAUUACUCAAAAAAAUGAAGUACUUAGAUAUAACUCUAACAAAACACGUGCAGGGCUGUGUGCUGAACACCAGACACGCUGGUGAAGGAGCUCAGACAAGACUGCAGCGAAUGAAGAGAUGUGUGGUGUGUAUGGGUCGGAAGACUUACAUGGUAAAGACGUCAGUUCUCUCCAAACCAAUGAACGGAAGUCCUGUCAACAUCCAAAGAUUUUUUGGUAGAUAUAGACAAGUUUAUCCUAAAAUUGGUAUGGAAAGUCAAAGGGCCUAGAAUACUUAAAACGAUCUUGAAAAAGAAGGAGGGAGAAAGACUCAGUCUACCUGAUGUCAAGACACUGAUGUUCUGCGUUAAUCUGGACAGUGUGGUAAUGGCAGACGACACUCAAUGGAACAGAAUAGAUCUCAGAAAUAGACCCGCACGGUGUGCCCAGCCGGUUUGAGACAAAGGUAGACAGUCACUUCAGUGGAGGAAAGACAGCCUUUUCCACAAAUUGUGCUGGAGCCAUUGGACAUCCGGAGGCAGAGAAAAAAAAUGAGCAAUGACCUAAAUUUCACCCCUAUUAUAAAAUUGAACUCAAAAUGGAUUACAGAUUUAAACAUAAAAUUUUAAUUAAAAAAUUUUAGGAAAAAAUAGGAGACAAUAUUCAGAAGCUUGGAACAAAGAGUUCUUAGAUUUGAUGUUAAAAACAUGAUCCAUAAACGGAAAAAUUGGUAAACUAGACUUUAUCAAAAUUAGAAACUUAUGCUCUGUAAAGGACCCCUGUUAAGAGGAUGAAAUGACAAGCUACAGACUGGGAGAAAAUACUGGCAAACCAUAAAUCCGAUAAAGGACUAAGAAGUCUGACAGCUCACCACUGUGAAAACAAACAAUCCAGUGAGAAACUGGGCAAUGGACAGGAACAGGAGUCGCCCUGAGGAGGGCAUGCGGAUGGCAGAUGAGCGCCCCGAGGUGUCCAGCACCAGCAGAGGGAUGCAAAGCAGAACCACCGCGAGAGACCGCCAACACCUCUCAGAACGGCCAAAUUAAAACAGAGCGAUGGCGCCAAAGCCUGCAGUGCAGUGAGAAAUCGGAUCCCUCUGGCACUGCAGGUGGGUGUAAAACAUCGCGGCUGCCCCGGAAACCAGGUACCAGCUUCGUUUAAAACAAAACACGCAGCUGUCAUUCGACCCAGCAACAGCACCCCUGGGCAUUCAUCCCAGAGAAAUGAAGACAUAGUCACACAAAUUCAUGCACAUAAAUGUUUAUAUUAGUUUUAUUCAUAAUAGCCUCAAACUGGGAAGAACCCAGAUGUCCUUCAACAGGUAAUUGGUUAAAAAAAGUUGUAGUCCACACCACAGACACCGACAACUCAGCAACAAGAACAAACUGUCGGUACACGGGACAGGCUGGGUGAAUCUGCAGAGCAUUAUACUGAGUGAAAAAGACAAUCCCAGAGGCUGUGUCCUAUAUGGUUCCAUUUAUAGAACAAUCUGGAAACGACAAAGUUAUGAAAACGAAGGUCAGAUUAUUGGUGGCCAGGGUUCGGAGGGGGCGGGAGUGGGAGGAAGGUGGGUGUGUCCACAAAAGGGAGCCACGAUCCUCGUGGCGAAGGAAUGUUGCGUGUCCACUGCACGGUGUCCGUGUCCGCGCUGACACCGUACUGUAGUUUGUAUGUUGUGACUGUUGGAGAAUAGGGUACUCGGGCUUUCUGUGGACUAUUUCUGGUAACUGCAUGUGAGUCCACAAUGAUGUAAACACUGACACUGAUAAUCUGCAGUCCUGUGCCCUCACGGCCAGUGAGUCCACACGUCCUGCUGCAUGUGGGAGGGCUUCACCGACACGUCCAGUCUGAUUUGCGGUGGGAAGUGGAGGGAAAAGAGCUUCCUUCCUGCGAGCUGUGACCUUGACUCGCUUAAAGUAAAUAUUUGCUGUGGGUUUAUGGGUCCAGAUCUAAGAGUUUAAAGAGAUGUCGGGCUAUGUUGACUCAGUCUCAGUGACCUUGGUGUUCAGCCUUGGAAAACACUGCCCCUGAGUCAAGGCUUGAAUGAAUGACGUUUCUAACGUUGUAUCAUGUGUGUUUGAAUAGUCGGCGCUGGGCGAAGGAAGGUGGGAGGCAGCAGAGCGAUUCUGCGCCGCUCGCAUCGCUUCCUCUGGCUUUGGGAGCCUCAGUUGGAGCCUGGAAGUGAGCGGGAGCCAGCGGGCCCCCUGUUCCCGUGCCCUGGCGGCCCGGCUGGUGGGGGCAGCGGUGUUCACACACACUCCCAGUUCCUCGUUUCUGUUUUCGGGAGAUCUCAGCCAUGAUGCACUUGCUGCGUCAUCUUUUCCUGUAACCACAUCCCUCGAGGGAGAAGAGAGAGGAAGCUCCGUUUUCUUCAAAAUGCUCGAGUGCCCCACAUGCCUGCUCUGAUCCUCGGGGCCCAGUGAGCCCCCAGCGUCUGUGCCUCCCCUCUCCUGAACUUUUCUGGUGUUCUGUGCAUUGUUUGGGAAGCAUAUUUGGUGGGAUGAGUCUAAGAAUGUACCAUAAAGUCAAAUUCAGGUUUAUUACUAUUAAUUUUCUAAACAAAGCAAUAAACCAACUUCCUAAUUAUAAAUUGGCACGUUCUCCAGUGUUUACUGUUUUGGAGCAGUCUGCGUCAGAACUGGGACGACACCGCAUGUCCCACGGCGCCGGAGUUAUCACUCCAUCAACGGUGUCCUUUCCACUUAGACGUCAAGUCCACUGGCCAGAGAGCACAGGGGACAUUGGGCGUGAUCACUAGGGAGGCGGGUGCCAGCGACAUGCCCGUUUUGGGGACAGAUUCUGUUUUCACGAAGAGCAGCGGAUACUUGGGAGGUGCAGUGACCGUGGAUCUGAGGGGCUGCUCUCACGGGGCUGUGCCAUGGGCGCCGCUCCUUGGUGAAAUCACGGCUGCUCACUCACUGCGGGCGGCCAGUGUGACGGCACCUUCGCUGGGGGCCUCGUUUUGGAAUCGGUCCUUAUUCGAUGUGUUUUUGGGGAACUGGAAGGUACCUAUGCAGCUCUGAUUUCCUGGAGGAAUGUGGUGAAGGGCUGGCCGUCUGACGCUGAAAUCAGCAGUUUCAACCGUUGGCGUCUGUCUCCUCCAGCUUCUGUCACGCGGAGGUGGACGCUCACAGAUGCGGACGGAGCCUCAACCUGUACGGGGGGUGUGGGAGCUGACGGAGGAGGACGUGUUCGCUCUUUCCCAGGUGUUUCCCUCUGCAGAGACGUGAGCAAAGUUCAAUGGCAGAAAGUGGGGGUAGGACAGACCCCCCCAGAUCUUACCUGCUGUGGUCCCCCGAGGGAGGCCUCAAACACGGUGGCAGCAGAAGCAUGAAAUCCUCCAGCUCUGCCCACGCAUUGUUGCUGAAUCCCCCCUCCCCCACUCCUUUGGGCCAGCCCAGGCUCCGGGUCAUCUUACCGGUAGCUCGCUCUCCGCCUCCCGCCUCCCUGCCCCAGCUGACACCUCCCAGAGGUGGGCAGGUGGCCAAGGCCACUGCCACCUCGAGGAGGGCGGCCCUUUCCCGAAAGCCCUGAGGACACACCAUGGCACCCCAUCAGCCACACUCUGACGCUGGUGUCCAGCUCCUGAAGGCCUCGCUAAGAUGUCCAGCCUCAAAGAAGAAGGAAGUCCUGCCAUUUUUGAUAACGUGGAUGAACCUGGAGGAGAUCACGCUGAGCAAGACAUGCCAGGCAGAGAGGGACAAAUACACCUGAUCCCUCUUCUGAGAGGGUUAGCAGUCAGACAGAAGCAGUGAGUAGGGCAGUGGCUGCAGGGGCUGCCGGGAGGGGAUGGGGACACGUUCAUUUGGUGUAAAGUUUCAGCUGUGCAAGAUGAGUAGGUUCUAGACAUCUGCUGGACACAUAGUGCCUUAGUGAGCAAUGUCCUCUACACUAAAAAAUGUGUGUUGGGGGUAGAUCUCAUGUGAAGUGUUCUUACCACAAAAAAGGGGGGACACCACAGUCUUUUGAGGCGGGGGUUAGGUAUGUGACCUUGAUCGUGGUCAGGGCUGCACGGUGUUCCUGUGUGUCUGGACUCAGCAAACAGUGCACAUUAAAUAGGGGCUGUUCUUUGUAUGUUAAUUAUACCUCAGUAAACCUAUGUAAAAAAGGAAAUAUUAAAAUAAAAGAAAAAAAAGAUGUUAGCGAAACCA